GUUAAACCACGAGAUGGCACAAAUUGGAGUUUGAGAAGCUCAAGUUAUGAGGAAACUGGUGUUCAGAGCAGUAGAAGGACUUCAUCAAGGCCACAGAGGCCUUCUGGGUACCAUCCCUGUGCUCCUGCUGGGACAUCAACUGCCGCCUAGUUUCUGCUCUAUUCCAUCCCCGCUCAUCUGUGAAAAAUGGUGGCAGCAAACACUUCCUUAUGAGAAUGUGGUGAAAAUGGAUUAUGUGGUUGGUGCAUUUGGAAUCCCGAAAAGGAAAUGGGCUGCAAAUCCAGAUCUCAUCACAGGGAGACCAGAGAGACAGGUAAAUACCACUGCUGAGAGGCGAUGAAUCUGGUGGUAGUUAUGAAAUGCUCAUGAGAUGUGGCUUGGCUUCAUUAAGGCCCCUGUUUUUGGAUGUUCUUUUAUUUAAAGGUGGCCAUUGGCCAAGUGACAAGAACCAGUGGGGUGAUGGGUCCGCAGUAGGGCACAUGGAAAUAUUAAAGAAUUGAGGGUAUUUAUUCUGUAGGAGACGAGAGAAAGGCAGGGACCAGUGUUUGAGCCUUCGGAGGUCUGUCACUUAGAAGAAAGAUAACAGUUCUGAGUAAUCCUGAAUGGGUGGAAGCUGAAAGGAGCCAAUAUUUGAAAACAGCUAAAGGAAGAUAUUUCUAACCAUUAGAAUUGCCUGAUUGUCCAGUUGAAUUCAAACGAAUAUGAACUGAACACUGACUAUACAGAGAUGAAUAAAACCUUGAUGGUCUAUGAUUUAUAAUUCA
rnacentral:lncRNA from 1 species